UACGUAGGGUGCAAGCGUUGUCCGGAAUUAUUGGGCGUAAAGAGCUCGUAGGCGGUCUGUCGCGUCGGCUGUGAAAACCUGAGGCUCAACCUCGGGCCUGCAGUCGAUACGGGCAGACUAGAGUUCGGUAGGGGAGACUGGAAUUCCUGGUGUAGCGGUGGAAUGCGCAGAUAUCAGGAGGAACACCGGUGGCGAAGGCGGGUCUCUGGGCCGAAACUGACGCUGAGGAGCGAAAGCGUGGGGAGCGAACAGG
rnacentral:rRNA from 1 species